rnacentral:rRNA from 1 species
CCUUGUACACACCGCCCGUCACACCAUGGGAGUGGGUUGCAAAAGAAGUAGGUAGCUUAACCUUCGGGAGGGCGCUUACCACUUUGUGAUUCAUGACUGGGGUGAAGUCGUAACAAGGUAACCGUAGGGGAACCUGCGGUUGGAUCACCUCCUUACCUUAAAGAAGCGUUCUUUGAAGUGCUCACACAGAUUGUCUGAU